rnacentral:lncRNA from 1 species
UGUAUUUAAAAAAAAAAUCUGUAUUUCCAGUUUUUCUUUUAAUGCAACGCCUAUAUUUAAAAAAAAUAAUAUUUUUCCUUUUGCUGUAACUAAACAUUUAUAACGGGUCACAUAUGUAUGCAGUCAAAAUUGUAUGCAUAAUUAAAACUAUCGGGACAAUCAUGAUUAAUGCAAUUCUUUCAAAGUCAUAGCAUUGCUAUAAAUGUUUCGACUUUUCAUAUUAUUGGCGUUAUACAUAGGGAUGUAAACCCCAAUUAUCACAUUGCUUAUAAACUAUGACAUUAUUUUUAUAUAUUUCUGAAACACCAUCAAGCCUCUAAUCCUUUGAAACAAAGAGUUUCCAUCAACACUCACGAUUCAACAAUAAUAUAUCUAUAAUAGAACCUGCAGAAAGACAU